rnacentral:rRNA from 1 species
CCUACGGGAGGCAGCAGUGGGGAAUAUUGGGCAAUGGACGCAAGUCUGACCCAGCAACGCCGCGUGAAGGAAGAAGGCUUUCGGGUUGUAAACUUCUUUUAAGGGGGAAGAGGAGAAGACGGUACCCCUUGAAUAAGCCACGGCUAACUACGUGCCAGCAGCCGGUGUAAUACGUAGGUGGCAAGCGUUGUCCGGAUUUACUGGGUGUAAAGGGGGUGCAGCCGGGCCGACAAGUCAGAUGUGAAAACGGCGGGCUUAAACCGCAGACAGCUUUUGAAACUAUAGAUCUUGAGUGCCGGAGAGGAGAUCGGAAUUCCUAGUGUAGCGGUGAAAUGCGUAGAUAUAAGGAAGAACACCAGUGGCGAAGGCGGAUUACUGGACGGUAACUGACGGUGAGGCGCGAAAGCGUGGGGAGCAAACAGGAUUAGAUACCCCUGUAGUC